GACGAACGCUGGCGGCGUGCUUAACACAUGCAAGUCGAACGGAAAGGCCCUACUUUUGUGGGGUGCUCGAGUGGCGAACGGGUGAGUAACACGUGAGUAACCUGCCCUUGACUUUGGGAUAACUUCAGGAAACUGGGGCUAAUACCGGAUAGGAGCUCCUGCUGCAUGGUGGGGGUUGGAAAGUUUCGGCGGUUGGGGAUGGACUCGCGGCUUAUCAGCUUGUUGGUGGGGUAGUGGCUUACCAAGGCUUUGACGGGUAGCCGGCCUGAGAGGGUGACCGGCCACAUUGGGACUGAGAUACGGCCCAGACUCCUACGGGAGGCAGAAGUGGGGAAUAUUGCACAAUGGGCGGAAGCCUGAUGCAGCAACGCCGCGUGCGGGAUGACGGCCUUCGGGUUGUAAACCGCUUUCGCCUGUGACGAAGCGUGAGUGACGGUAAUGGGUAAAGAAGCACCGGCUAACUACGUG
rnacentral:rRNA from 1 species